UCUUGGCUCCUUCGGAGUCCGAGUUGUAAUUUGUAGGAAGAUGCUUUGGGUUGUGGGUCCGGCCUAAGUUCCUUGGAACAGGACGUCGCAGAGGGUGAGAAUCCCGUAUGUGGCCGAGGCCUGCGCCUAUGUAAAGCUCUUUCGACGAGUCGAGUUGUUUGGGAAUGCAGCUCAAAAUGGGUGGUAAAUUUCAUCUAAAGCUAAAUAUGGGCCAGAGACCGAUAGCGCACAAGUAGAGUGAUCGAAAGAUGAAAAGCACUUUGGAAAGAGAGUUAAACAGUACGUGAAAUUGUUGAAAGGGAAGCGCUUGCAACCAGACUUGGGCGCUGCCGAUCACCCCGAGUUUUCUCGGGUGCACUCGACAGCGCACAGGCCAGCAUCGGUUCGGGUGGCUGGAUAAAGGCCGUGGGAACGUAGCUCCUCUCGAGGAGUGUUAUAGCCUACGGUGCCAUGCAGCCCAGCCGGACCGAGGACCGCGCCUUCGGGCUAGGAUGCUGGCGUAAUGGUUGUAAGCGACCCGUCUUGAAACACGGACCAAGGAGUCUAACAUCUAUGCGAGUGUUUGGGCGUUAAACCCAUACGCGGAAUGAAAGUGAACGUAGGUGAGAGCCCCUUUGGGGCGCAUCAUCGACCGAUCCUGAUGUCUUCGGACGGAUUUGAGUAAGAGCAUAGCUG
rnacentral:rRNA from 1 species